GAUGAAGAACGUAGCGAAAUGCGAUAAGUAGUGUGAAUUGCAGACUUUAGUGAAUCAUCGAAUCUUUGAACGCACAUUGCGCCCGCCAGUAUUCUGGCGGGCAUGCCUGUUCGAGCGUCAUUACAACCCUCAGGCCCCCGGGCCUGGCGUUGGGGAUCGGCGGAAGCCCCCUGCGGGCACAACGCCGUCCCCCAAAUACAGUGGCGGUCCCGCCGCAGCUUCCAUUGCGUAGUAGCUAACACCUCGCAACUGGAGAGCGGCGCGGCCACGCCGUAAAACACCCAACUUCUGAAUGUUGACCUCGAAUCAGGUAGGAAUACCCGCUGAACUUAAGCAUAUCAAUAAGCGGAGGA
rnacentral:misc_RNA from 1 species